rnacentral:misc_RNA from 1 species
GAUGAAGAACGUAGCAAAAUGCGAUAAGUAAUGUGAAUUGCAGAAUUCAGUGAAUCAUCGAAUCUUUGAACGCACAUUGCGCCCGCUGGUAUUCCGGCGGGCAUGCCUGUUCGAGCGUCAUUUCAACCCUCAAGCCCCCGGGUUUGGUGUUGGGGAUCGGCUCUGCCCUUCUGGGCGGUGCCGCCCCCGAAAUACAUUGGCGGUCUCGCUGCAGCCUCCAUUGCGUAGUAGCUAACAACUCGCAACUGGAACGCGGCGCGGCCAUGCCGUAAAACCCCAACUUCUGAAUGUUGACCUCGGAUCAGGUAGGAAUACCCGCUGAACUUAAGCAUAUCAAUAAGCGGAGGA